rnacentral:rRNA from 1 species
CCUACGGGCGGCAGCAGUGAGGAAUAUUGGUCAAUGGGCGAGAGCCUGAACCAGCCAAGUCGCGUGAGGGAGUACUGCCCUAUGGGUUGUAAACCUCUGUUGUCGGGGAGCAAAAGCCGGACGUGUCCGGCUGUGAGAGUACCCGAAGAAAAAGCAUCGGCUAACUCCGUGCCAGCAGCCGCGGUAAUACGGAGGAUGCGAGCGUUAUCCGGAUUUAUUGGGGUUAAAGGGUGCGCAGGCGGAUUUUUAAGUCGGCGGUCAAAUCGUGGGGCUCAACCCCAUCCAGCCGUUGAAACUGGGGAUCUAGAGUGUGCGAGAGGUAUGCGGAAUGCGUGGUGUAGCGGUGAAAUGCAUAGAUAUCACGCAGAACCCCGAUUGCGAAGGCAGCAUACCGGUGCACAACUGACGCUCAGGCACGAAAGCGUGGGUAUCGAACAGGAUUAGAUACCCGAGUAGUC